UACGUAGGGUGCGAGCGUUAAUCGGAAUUACUGGGCGUAAAGCGUGCGCAGGCGGUGGCUCAAGCCAGGCGUGAAAUCCCCGGGCUUAACCUGGGAAUGGCGUUUGGGACUGGGUCGCUAGAGUGUGGCAGAGGGAGGUGGAAUUCCACGUGUAGCAGUGAAAUGCGUAGAGAUGUGGAGGAACACCGAUGGCGAAGGCAGCCUCCUGGGCCAGCACUGACGCCCAUGCACGAAAGCGUGGGGAGCAAACAGG
rnacentral:rRNA from 1 species